rnacentral:rRNA from 1 species
GAUGAACGCUGGCGGCGUGCCUAAUACAUGCAAGUCGAGCGAACGGACGAGAAGCUUGCUUCUCUGAUGUUAGCGGCGGACGGGUGAGUAACACGUGGAUAACCUACCUAUAAGACUGGGAUAACUUCGGGAAACCGUAGCUAAUACCGGAUAAUAUUUUGAACCGCAUGGUUCAAAAGUGAAAGACGGUCUUGCUGUCACUUAUAGAUGGAUCCGCGCUGCAUUAGUUAGUUGGUAAGGUAACGGCUUACCAAGGCAACGAUGCAUAGCCGACCUGAGAGGGUGAUCGGCCACACUGGAACUGAGACACGGUCCAGACUCCUACGGGAGGCAGCGGUAGGGAAGCGUCGGCGAUGGGCGGAAGCCUGACGGAGCAACGCCGCGUGAGUGAAGAGGGUCUUCGGAUCGUAAGACUCUGUUAUUAGGGAAGAACAUAUGUGUAAGUAACUGUGCACAUCUUGACGGUACCUAAACAGAAAGCCACGGCUAACUACGUG